GUUACUGCUAUCUUUAGGUUUUCUUUUUGCAGGUGCUCCAAACAUGCUUCCUUUAUUUUUAUUUUUAUUUUUUUGGAGACUUUGUUGCCCAGGCUGGAGUCCAGUGGUGCGAUCUCCGCUUACUGCAUGCUUCGUUUAUUAAUUUAGUUUUUCUUAAUGUAGUCUUUGUUAUUUCCCUAUUUUAUUUUACUGGUUGAUACAGGGAUACUACUUUCUGUUCUUCUCUCCAUUUUUUUCUCUCUGGGUCUCACUGUAGUUCCUUCUUUCUUUCUCUCUCCUUCCCUCCUCCCUUCCUUCCUCCCUCUAGCCUCCCCCCAUUUUUUAGUCUCUCUCUGUGUUCAUAUCCCUCUUCUCUUCCCUCUCAAUCUUUGAUCUUUCACCCUUACUCCUUUCAGCUCCCGCACUUGCUCUGUUUGCCACAACUAGCAUUCUCUAUUUCAGCUGCAAGUUUUCUCAUGCGCUCCUUUCUUUCAAGGAAAGAUGGAAAGUUCAGUUCUCUUAACUUUGGCAGAACCACAGCCCCACUGGGGGUCUGAAGUGAAAUGGUUCCCUAAUUAUGUACCUUUAUUGGGACUCUGCGACACUUAGUGCUGCCUGUAUCAACAACCCAGAAACUACUCUGUGGACUAUUUCAUCAACAUUUGUUAGUGCUCAUUUUCUUUUGUUUUCUAAAAUCCUCCUGUGGGGGCCAGUUUAACUUCUUUCUGUAAGAUUCUGAGUCAUUGCUACUAAAUACAACCAUGGAAAGAUUACCAAAAAUAGAUAUAGCCCUUUUGUGCAUCUGUGAAGGGAAGGGAUUAGAUCAGUUCAUCAUUAAGGGCUCCUUCUGUUUACUAAUCAUACCUUGAUUGUGCCACAAAAAGAACAUUUGAUAACCACCUGCCUCAAAGAUAAUCUGCUCAAAAGACUUCCAUUUCGUUCUCCACCCCAAGAAGCUUUAGAAAUUUUCUUCCUUCUCCCAGAAUGUCCUGUGAUGCAUAUUUCUAACAACUGGGAGAGCCUUGUGGUUACAUUUGCAAAGGUUGUUUGUAAAAUGAGUGACCAGUCUUCACUGGUUCUGGAAGAGUAUUGGGCAACUCUGCAAGAAUCCACUUUCAGCAAACUGGUCCAGAUGUUUAAAACAGCCGUCAUAUGCCAAUUGGAUUACUGGGAUGAAAGUGCUGAGGAGAAUGGUAAUGUUCAAGCUCUCCUAGAAAUGUUGAAGAAGCUGCACAGGGUAAACCAGAUGAAAUGUCAACUACCUGAAAGUAUUUUCCAAGUAGACGAACUCUUGUACCGUCUCAAUUUUUUUGUAGAAGUAUGCAGAAGGUACUUGUGGAAAAUGACUGUGGACACUUCAGAAAAUGUAGAAUGCUGUGUCAUAUUCAGUCACUUUCCAUUUAUCUUUAAUAAUCUAUCGAAAAUUAAACUACUACAUACAGACACACUUUUAAAAAUAGAGGGUAAAAAACAUAAAGCUUAUCUUAGGUCGGCAGCAAUUGAGGAAGAAAGAGAGUCUGAAUUUGCUUUGAGGCCCACGUUUGAUCUAACAGUCAGAAGGAAUCACUUGAUUGAGGAUGUUUUGAAUCAGCUAAGUCAGUUUGAGAAUGAAGACCUGAGGAAAGAGUUAUGGGUUUCAUUUAGUGGAGAAAUUGGGUAUGACCUCGGAGGAGUCAAGAAAGAGUUCUUCUACUGUCUGUUUGAAGAGAUGAUUCAGCCGGAAUAUGGGAUGUUCAUGUAUCCUGAAGGGGCUUCCUGCAUGUGGUUUCCUGUCAAGCCUAAAUUUGAGAAGAAAAGAUACUUCUUUUUUGGGGUUCUAUGUGGACUUUCCCUGUUCAAUUGCAAUGUUGCCAACCUCCCUUUCCCACUGGCACUGUUUAAGAAACUUUUGGACCAAAUACCGUCAUUGGAAGACUUGAAAGAACUCAGUCCUGAUUUGGGAAAGAAUUUGCAAACACUUCUGGAUGAUGAAGGUGAUAACUUUGAAGAAGUAUUUUACAUCCAUUUUAAUGUGCACUGGGACAGAAACGACACAAACUUAAUUCCUAAUGGAAGUAGCAUAAUUGUCAACCAGACUAACAAGAGAGACUAUGUUUCUAAGUAUAUCGAUUACAUUUUCAACGACUCUGUAAAGGCAGUUUAUGAAGAAUUUCGGAGAGGAUUUUAUAAAAUGUGUGACGAAGACAUUAUCAAAUUAUUCCACCCCGAAGAACUGAAGGAUGUGAUUGUUGGGAAUACAGAUUAUGAUUGGAAAACAUUUGAAAAGGUACAUCAUCAAGUCUAAGUUGAUUAAAUUCAGUUUUCUUUCCUAUUUCCUCAAUAACUUUUUUUUUGUAUUUUCUCUAGAAUGCACGUUAUGAACCAGGAUAUAACAGUUCACAUCCCACCAUAGUGAUGUUUUGGAAGGCUUUCCACAAGUUGACUCUGGAAGAAAAGAAAAAAUUCCUUGUAUUUCUUACAGGAACUGACAGACUACAAAUGAAAGAUUUAAAUAAUAUGAAAAUAACAUUUUGCUGUCCUGAAAGUUGGAAUGAAAGAGACCCUAUGAGAGCACUGACAUGUUUCAGUGUCCUCUUCCUCCCUAAAUAUUCUACAAUGGAAACAGUUGAAGAAGCGCUUCAAGAAGCCAUCAACAACAACAGAGGAUUUGGCUGACCAGCUUGCUUGUCCAACAGCCUUAUUUUGUUGUUGUUGUUAUUGUUGUUGUUGUUUCUCUACUUUGUUUUGUUUUAGGCUUUUAGCAGCCUGAAUCCAUGGUUUUUCAUUUCUGUCUCUAGUGAUAAGGAGUAAAGAGGGAUGAAGAAGAGGGUUUACUGGCCAGUUAGAACCCGUGACUGUAUUCUCUCCCUUGGAUAUCCCUAUGCCUACAUCAUAUUCCUUACCUCUUUUGGGAAAUAUUUUUCAAAAAUAAAAUAACUGAAAAAUU
rnacentral:sRNA from 1 species